AAGAAGGGUGGCCAUGGCCAGUACAUGCUACUGAAGGAGUGACUCUGCUUACAGGUGCUUAUGGCGGGAGCUCCAGGCCAGUCCAUUAGUGCUGUUUGUAGUGUUUGGAAUAGUCUGGGAACCUUCUGCAAAAGUGUUCAGGUGGCCAUUGGCUGAACCUUCCACUCUAAAACCUGACCUUCAAGAAGGCUUUUCCUGAGUCCUAUGAGCCCUCUGCCUCCUACUCUUACUCCUGCCCCAGCCUUCCCGGAGACCCUGAUGAGUAUGAGCCUACCUUGGAAGCCACAGUUCCUCCAGGACUAAGUCCCUGGCAAGGAAAGAGCUGGCAGUUUAAUAAUAAAGUGACUGAAGGACAUUUGGGAUGUGUGUCCUCUGAUGAUGACUGCUGGACAAACACAACAGGAGCAGUUGCAGACAAAGUAGCUGAGGGAGAAGACAGGAGAUGAGGACACGCUCACUACUGCAGAGACUUGGUGAGCACUAAGAGGGGAGGUAGAGGUGGUCACAAUCCCGCCCCUCAUGCCACAGUGUGCUGGUGCUUUUUUUGUUUUGUUUUGUUUUUUUGAGACAGGGUCUCGCUCUUCAUCCAGGAUGGAGUGCAAUGGAGCAAGCUUGGCUCACUGCAGCCCUCGCCUUCCAGGUUCAAGUGAUUCUCAUGAUUCAGCCUCCCGAGUAGCUGGGAUUACAAGCACAUGCCACCAUGCCUGGCUAAUUUUUAUAUUUUUGUAGAGAUGAGGUUUUGUGAUGUUAGCCAGGCUGGUCUUGAAUUCCUGACCUCAGGUGAUCCCCCUGCCUUGGUCUCUCAAAGUACUGGAUGACACUCGUGAGCCACCGCGCCCGGCUCCUCAUCCCACAAGGUGCUUCUAAUCAUUGUUCCACUGAGGCGCAGGGAGGAAAAUAAUGUAUGAUCAAGAACACCUGAAUUUGUGUGCUAGUGGCAGAAAAGUAAUGAGAGAUUUAUUUUAGAGGAAAACAUCCACAGA
rnacentral:lncRNA from 10 species